rnacentral:rRNA from 1 species
GCACCUUCGGGUGAGUGGCAGACGGGUGAGUAACGCGUGGGAAUCUACCUAUCGGUUCGGAAUAACCCGGGGAAACUCGGGCUAAUACCGGAUACGUCCUUCGGGAGAAAGAUUUAUCGCCGAUAGAUGAGCCCGCGUUGGAUUAGCUAGUUGGUGUGGUAAUGGCGCACCAAGGCAACGAUGCGUAGCCGACCUGAGAGGGUGAUCGGCCACACUGGGACUGAGACACGGCCCAGACUCCUACGGGAGGCAGCAGUAGGGAAUCUUCCGCAAUGGACGAAAGUCUGACGGAGCAACGCCGCGUGAGUGAUGAAGGAUUUCGGUUCGUAAAGCUCUGUUGUUAGGGAAGAACACGUGCCGUUCGAAUAGGGCGGCACCUUGACGGUACCUAACCAGAAAGCCACGGCUAA